rnacentral:rRNA from 1 species
UACGGGGGGGGGCAAGCGUUGUUCGGAAUUACUGGGCGUAAAGGGCUCGUAGGCGGCCAACUAAGUCAGACGUGAAAUCCCUCGGCUUAACCGGGGAACUGCGUCUGAUACUGGAUGGCUUGAGUUUGGGAGAGGGAUGCGGAAUUCCAGGUGUAGCGGUGAAAUGCGUAGAUAUCUGGAGGAACACCGGUGGCGAAGGCGGCAUCCUGGACCAACACUGACGCUGAUGUGCGAAAGCGUGGGGAGCAAACAGG